CUCCAGCAUCAGAUCAGAGCGGUGCGACUGGGUCAGUGGAGGCUGGGUGUACUGCUCCGGACACACCACAUGGAGGGGCUGCAGGAGGGACAGACAGGAGACAGUGAUCAGCUCCUGAUGGCUCAUUCAGUCCUCUGAGGUGCAGACCGUACCUGGACUUCUUUGAGCAGCUUUGACACUUGGUGGAAGUUGAGCCGAGUGUCGAUGGGACAGUAAACGCACUUCAUAGCCAGCGGCUGGUACGGAGCCAGAGCAUCCAGCUCCAUGAAGUGAACCACGUCCCCGAAGCGCAGAGAUGGAUGACCGGUGAACACCACGCACGGCUGACGGAACUCACUGCUGAAGUCUCCGUGGAUGCUCGGGUAGUGCUUCAGCUUGUUGGUCUGGAUCAGCUGAAACAACAACGCAGCACAUGAGGAAAGAAAGUUCUUACCACUUUCUGUGAAUAUCCCACGAGCUGCACCUUGCUGAGGGCAGAGUUGACCUCCUGCAUGCUGUAGCAUCGUUUCCACGUCCACACAUCUACUGCAUCCUUCAGCGGCCCUGGGAGCAUCCUAAUCAGGUGGCAGACUGGGCUUUGGGAACUCUCUCCAUGAAGUUCACCAGUUCCUCCAUCAACAGUCUGUGAAAGUGAAAUAACAACAGGAAAGAACUGAAACCACAACAUCAGCCAGAGUUUAUUUUCCUGACGUUACAUUUUGUUCUUCAAACUCAACUUUCAAAUAACAAAAUGUACAGUGUCCUUUAAAUUAAUAUAAAAAUAAUAUGAUGAAGUUUG